AUUGAGACUGGCAUGAAAGGCUAAACAAAAAUGACUUUCUAAGAACAGGGCGGUAAAUUAAAUUUUAUGUGAGAAUACAUAAGUGAUCUAAUGGGACGAUAAGACCCUAAAAGCUUUAUUUGUUUGGGACUGCAGGGGUUUUUAUUAAAUUGUUGGCCUUAAUCUUUUUUACUGGGGUAGUAGCUCAAUAUUUACUUGUGUAGCGGUUAAAUUGUGAGUAUACAUUGAAUUAAAGGUCCUCUGUUAGGAUAGGUAGAGUUAGUUACUUUAGGGAUAACAGCGUAAUAGUUUUGGAGAGACCAAAUCUAUAAGACAGAUUGCGACCUCGAUGUUGAAUUAAAAAUUCUAAGCGAUGUAGAAGGCGCUUUGGACGGUUUGUUCAACCGUUAAAAUUUUACAUGAUCUGAGUUCAAACCGG
rnacentral:rRNA from 1 species